GAAAGGGACUAAUUAAGCUAAUGAGAGAGUGGAAACCAGAUACCUCAGGUCUCCAGUUAGAUUUCCUUCCACACCUAGCACACAAACCUGACACUACCAUUUUACUAGUUUUAAAAACUUUUGUCUGCUGAAGGCAUAGUCGAGUUCUAACAAGGUAAACUGGCACUGAAGCUGUGUUAGCGCCCGAACCCCCGUUAGUUCUGUUCUAACACCUGGCAAAAGUAAAUGAAAAAUAGUGUUUAGCGCUUUCCAUUUUGUAGCCAGACACACACAGGUGUCAAAUUAACCUUGGUUGAAAACUGAAAAUGUAACAGAUGGAGUGCUGAAGUUCUUUACCUGCGGUCCUUUGGGUGUGUUUAUGGUGGAAAAAUAGAAAGAACACAUCAAGAGUUUUGGCAUCAUGCAGUUCCUGGAACUUCUGGAUAAUUUUUCUUGAGUAGAACCACUUUGACUGUCAGCAUGUUACAGCACACUGCACUACAAAUUACAGCACACUACAAAUUACAAUGAGCAGUUUGCAAAACAAACACGUGGCACUGCUGUGGGUUCUGCAGCUUUAUGGUUUACACUCAACCUUCAAAACCUGUAAAAGCACCAUUACAACCCUUCAGUGUUCAUUUUACAUGCAUCAGCUGAGACUUCUCUGCCUCCAGUCUCUCUCUCUCUCUCUCUCUCUCUCUCUCAAUCACACUCACUUUUUCUCUUUCACACUCAAUAACACACACACACACACACACACACACACACACACACACUUGACUUAGAACAAUUCAUGUCAUUAUUAGUGCAGAAAAGUAAUGCUAUGACAAUGUAGCUCAACCUUAAACAUAGUAAAUAAAAGGAAACUUUAUUAAUUUAUGUUAACCUUCAUUUUAACCAUGUUUAAAAAUAAAAUCAAACUUCUAUCACAUCUAUCAUA